AACGAACGCUGGCGGCAGGCUUAACACAUGCAAGUCGAACGCCCCGCAAGGGGAGUGGCAGACGGGUGAGUAACACGUGGGAACAUGCCCAAAGGUACGGAAUAUUCUCGGGAAACUGGGAGCAAUACCGUAUGUGCCCGAAAGGGGAAAGAUUUAUCGCCUUUGGAUUGGCCCGCGUCAGAUUAGGUAGUUGGUGGGGUAAUGGCCUACCAAGCCGACGAUCUGUAGCUGGUCUGAGAGGACGACCAGCCACACUGGGACUGAGACACGGCCCAGACUCCUACGGGAGGCAGCAGUGGGGAAUCUUGGACAAUGGGCGCAAGCCUGAUCCAGCCAUGCCGCGUGGAUGAUGAAGGCCCUAGGGUUGUAAAAUCCUUUCGUUGGGGACGAUAAUGACGGUACCCAAAGAAGAAGCUCCGGCUAACUUCGUGCCAGCCGCCGCCGUAA
rnacentral:rRNA from 1 species